rnacentral:rRNA from 1 species
GAUGAACGCUGACAGAAUGCUUAACACAUGCAAGUCAACUGUGGCGGACGGGUGAGUAACGCGUAAAGAACUGGCCGAACAGUUAGGGACAACAUUUGGAAAAGAAUGAUAAUACAGGAAACGGUGAGAGAGCUUGGCGUCCAAUUAGCUAGUUGGAGAGGUAACGGCACACCAAGGCGGUGAAGGGUAGCCGGCCUUGGAGGGUGAUCGGCCACAAGGGGACUGCGACACGGCCCUUACUCCUACGGGAGGCAGCAGUGGGGAAUAUUGGACAAUGGACCAAAUUCUGAUCCAGCAAUUCUGUGUGCACGAUGAAGUUUUCGGAAUGUAAAGUGCUUUCAGUUGGGAAGCGGUACCUACAGAAGAAGUGACGGCUAAAUACGUGCCAGCAGCCGCGGUAAUAC